CAGUAGCCGCGGUAACACGGAGGGGGCUAGCGUUGUUCGGAAUUACUGGGCGUAAAGCGCACGUAGGCGGCUUGGUAAGUUAGAGGUGAAAGCCUGGAGCUCAACUCCAGAAUUGCCUUUAAGACUGCCGAGCUAGUAGGUGAGAGAGGUAAGUGGAAUUCCGAGUGUAGAGGUGAAAUUCGUAGAUAUUCGGAAGAACACCAGUGGCGAAGGCGGCUUACUGGCUCAUUCUAGACGCUGAGGUGCGAAAGCGUGGGGAGCAAACAGGAUUAGAUACCCGGGUAGUCCCUGUCUCUUAUAC
rnacentral:rRNA from 1 species